GACAAAGGGAGAAGUGGGGCCAGUAAGAAUAGUUAGGAUGAGAAUCUAAACUUCUUUGCCAUCUUUCCUGGUACUUCUGCUAGAAUACUACCCCUGGAUGCUGCAUGGGGCUCUUGUAGUAGCUGUGGCUAGGAGGAGUCUCUUAUUUGAAGCCAGCUGUCUCUACGUGUGGAAACAACUGUUCCUCUUCAUCAAGGGAAGCAGCUUCUCAAGAGGCAGAGUGAGUUAGUAAGCAAUGAAAAAUAUACCCUUCGCAGGUGUUACAGUCGAGUGAAAGAACAUGGUGUUGGGAAAAGGAAAAGCAGUUACACAUUUGAACAAUUGGAACAGGUGUUUGGUCAGGGAGGAUGGGACUCUCAGCCCUGCCAGCCUGUACUCAUUAACAGCAGUGGCUUGUACCAGGAGCUGGAAUCUGAUGGCAGCACUAUGGAGGAAUAUUCACAGGAGGAUUGGGGAAACCACAGUCAGGAUCUUCAUUGCUACCAAACAGGAGAACAGGAGUUGGACGAAAUGCCUGCCACAAAAAGAACAUUAAAGAUAAAGCAGGAAUCUUCAGAAGAUGCACAGUAAGUAAUUUAUGAAUGUUUC